CGGCUAACAUAUUUCUCUUGUGCUGACGGCAGUAAGAGCUUACGGCUGUUGUGCUCACAAAACAUUAUAUUUUGAAGGUUCUUUCACCAGGUCCACUUUUCUUUUGUUGUUAUGUAUACGGUGUGUACGUGACUUUUCGUGACCCGUUCCGAUGUUCUGAAACCCAAAUUUGGACGGACUCGCCACACCUCUAAAUGUAGAAUGAAAUAUCACGUUACCUUUGUGUUGUGUCAAAACAAAGGCAAGUCCACGUAUAAAAGAGUUUUGCUUUUAAUUUAUUGUUCCCUUUUUUUUCUACAUCGCACGUAUAUUUGGUAUUAACGUGGAUCAGAGUUCUGCUAAUUUCUUUUGAAGAUUAUCGCAGCGAAAGUGAAAAAAGGGAAUGUGCCCAUAAGGAUCUACAUUAAACGAUAAUCUUUGCCAGUUAUGCUGACGUCAUACUACAACGUUUCUUCCUUGUUUGUCCAUCGUAAAAAGAAUGUUAUCACGCGUCUUUGUUGGUACCGCCACGGAUCUUGUCAACACCUCGGGUAUUUCCCAACACUAAAAUCUACCAGAUCAUCUCGUUGAUUGUUGCAAUUCCUGUUUGAAUUCGAAGCAAACUAGCCGAUCGUUGAUAUCCUUUUCUUCUGUUUAUUUACCGAUUACUUCUGCUGCAUGCGUUCCAUGGCCUUGGAGCGUUUGGCAUUCCGUUACAAACAUCGGCUCCAAUUCAAAUUGGAAAUCGUUAAAGUCUGGACCAGGAAAGAAGCCAUUCGUUGUGCGGCGUACAACGAACAACGAGCCAAAAUAGUUAUGGAUGUUUAGCAAUAUUCUUUAUAUUUUGAUGGUUUCGCGAAAACGACAUAAAACAAAGUUCGACUUUUAAUGCAACUGAAACAAUCCUUGCAGGGGAUUGCGAGUUAUUUAAACACGAUACCCACCCAACGAAUUUUUACGAGUCCUGUUUCAAUAGUUAUUGCAGGGCCGCGAUGUUGCAAGGGUUUUUUUGUUUUUAAAUGUAAUGACUGGAGAACGAGAACAAGAAAACGAAAAAUAUGUUUGUUAUCAAUAAACUGAUUUGAGCGCGU